CUCUGCGCAAGGGAUCUUUUGGUUCGCUAGACGAAGAAGGGCGCAGCGGAAUGCGAAAUGUGCAGGAGUCGCAGCGAAGAUAGCACAUGCCUGAAAUCACGAGAGUGUGAGAUUACCCCUUUGAAUUAAGCAUAUGAGUACAGGGAGGAAUAGAAACUAACAAGGAUUCCUUMGUAGCGGCGAGCGAAGAAGG
rnacentral:rRNA from 1 species